rnacentral:rRNA from 1 species
CCUGCCGAAAGGCAGACUAAUACCGCAUAGUCUUCGAUGACGGCAUCAGAUUUGAAGUAAAGAUUUAUCGGUAAUGGAUGGGGAUGCGUCUGAUUAGCUUGUUGGCGGGGUAACGGCCCACCAAGGCGACGAUCAGUAGGGGUUCUGAGAGGAAGGUCCCCCACAUUGGAACUGAGACACGGUCCAAACUCCUACGGGAGGCAGCAGUC